rnacentral:rRNA from 1 species
GACGAACGCUGGCGGCGUGCCUAAUACAUGCAAGUUGAGCGCUGAAGGUUGGUACUUGUACCAACUGGAUGAGCAGCGAACGGGUGAGUAACGCGUGGGGAAUCUGCCUUUGAGCGGGGGACAUCAUUUGGAAACGAAUGCUAAUACCGCAUAAAAACUUUAAACACAAGUUUUAAGUUUGAAAGAUGCAAUUGCAUCACUCAAAGAUGAUCCCGCGUUGUAUUAGCUAGUUGGUGAGGUAAAGGCUCACCAAGGCGAUGAUACAUAGCCGACCUGGGAGGGUGAUCGGCCACAUUGGGACUGAGACACGGCCCAAACUCCUACGGGAGGCAGCAGUAGGGAAUCUUCGGCAAUGGACGAAAGUCUGACCGAGCAACGCCGCGUGAGUGAAGAAGGUUUUCGGAUCGUAAAACUCUGUUGGUAGAGAAGAACGUUGGUGAGAGUGGAAAGCUCAUCAAGUGACGGUAACUACCCAGAAAGGGACGGCUAACUACGUG